GUAACUUUGCAGUGUGUCAACACAAAGUAGUGUGUGUAGUCAAGUGUUUCAUUACAGUUUUUUCGAUGUGUGAGAUGGAAACGACUUUCAAAAUGCGGAUUAUAAAAACAGACAAAAAAGAAUAGACAGUUGGCUAGCUGUGACAUCUAAUGCUGUUGAUGAAGGUUGGGACAACAUGGACAAAGAAACAAAAGAAGUCUUAGGGAAGGAUGUCAAAAAAGUGGAAGAGCAUUAAGGAUUGCUACUACAAAAAUGUGAAAAUGCACGAAGGAAAAGUGGCGAUUCAUUAAAAUCCAGGAAACAUUACAUUUAUCACAAACAGUGGUCAUUUCUCCAAUCUUUAUGUGUAGAAUGAGAUUUUCUCUUUUAACCACGGGACAUCUGGGAAUAUGACUGUCGAUCUAACAGAAAGUACGCAAAACGCUGGAAACAACACUGCACAACAAGAAGCAAGCACAACACCGGAAAUACAACAUACUACAUCCAAGCCCCUUGCAUAGCGCAAAGGGAGAAAUAAAGUCCUUUU